rnacentral:rRNA from 1 species
UACAGAGGUCCCAAGCGUUGUUCGGAUUCACUGGGCGUAAAGGGUGCGUAGGUGGUCGGGUAAGUCUGAUGUGAAAUCUCUGGGCUCAACCCAGAAACUGCAUUGGAUACUAUCCGGCUGGAGGAGUGGAGGGGGGACUGGAAUGCUCGGUGUAGCAGUGAAAUGCGUAGAUAUCGAGCGGAACACCAGUGGCGAAGGCGAGUCCCUGGACACUUCCUGACACUGAGGCACGAAAGCUAGGUGAGCAAACAGG